rnacentral:rRNA from 1 species
CCUACGGGUGACAGCAGUCGAGAAUCAUUCACAAUGGGGGAAACCCUGAUGGUGCGACGCCGCGUGGGGGAAUGAAGGUCUUCGGAUUGUAAACCCCUGUCAUGUGGGAGCAAAUUAAAAAGAUAGUACCACAAGAGGAAGAGACGGCUAACUCUGUGCCAGCCGCCGCGGUAAUACAGAGGUCUCAAGCGUUGUUCGGAAUCACUGGGCGUAAGGCGUGCGUAGGCUGUUUCGUAAGUCGUGUGUGAAAGGCGCGGGCUCAACCCGCGGACGGCACAUGAUACUGCGAGACUAGAGUAAUGGAGGGGGAACCGGAAUUCUCGGUGUAGCAGUGAAAUGCGUAGAUAUCGAGAGGAACACUCGUGGCGAGGGCGGGUUCCUGGACAUUAACUGACGCUGAGGCACGAAGGCCAGGGGAGCGAAAGGGAUUAGAUACCCUUGUAGUC